UUGCUCAAUCGGGCCGAUUGCAAAACAGAGAUGGCGGCACUCGAAUUCUAGCGGUUAGAAUUCGACCCGUUUUCGGCUCAAUUUUCAUCCGUCUGCUCGAUUGCUCGAAAACAGACGAUAUUUUUCGCAGUGCUGCGAUGAACAAAACAAAACUCGGGCAGUUUUCAAUCGCAGCAAUCCGGGUGCGUGUUUCGUUUUGGUGCGUGAUUGUUGUAAAUUGUGUUUUGAAAUUUGUCGCUGUUCUGUUUUGUUUCUGACGUUUCUGCAUUUUCUGUUCAGAAAUGCUUUGAGCGCAUAAGGUAUGUUUGAUUGAUUGAAUUAUAAAUAAUCAAGUUUUAUUUAUGUAUAUUAUUUUCUAACCCAUUAUUGUCCCCAUAAAAAACAUCGAUCCAUGCCAACAAAGCUUCUAAGGAAAUGUCCACACGGUACGGGCUCUGGCUCUGGAUAUCGCAUCCGGAUCCGGAUACCAGACACGCUCAGAGAUGGUGGCUUCACUUGGAUAACUUUUAAUCAGUUUUCGGUGUGAUAGUUCAAAGUAGAAUGCAAGGUACCGUUGUCGCAAUUAUUUACUAUUUGCUUAUUAAUCUUUUUCAAAAUAUAAAUUUUGAUUCUUGUGGGUCCAAUCAAGAUUCAAAUUUUGUUUAAUUGAUUGAAUUAAGAAAAAAAAAUAACGAAACGUUUUUUCCCUUGUCCAAAGAGUAACAUGGAGAGUUCAAUUUCAAAACCAAAUGAUUAAAGAUAUUUAGUUAACUCAAAUUUACAAUUCGAAAUUUGCUUUCACGCGUCGCUAAGAAAAAAAUGAAACAUUUUGAGUAAAAAUUGAAAUUUCUCAAACUUAAUUUUGAGUAUCGAUUCAGAGGUUGUAAAAACCAUAAAAUGGUUGGAAAAUUGUCAUAUGAGUUUGAAAAAAUAUGAACGUGUGUAAUUUUUGUUUUGUUUUGCUUUUGGUUUGUGUUAAAAUAGUGGUUUUCCCGGUUUUCCACAACGGAGAAGAGUUCCGAGUGAAAUUGGCGUGAAUACUGGCCAAUCGACCGCUGACCAGAUAUCCCAAUCCGGGGCUUGUAGUACCCGGAUCCGGCAACAGUGGCUCCGUGAGUCGUGUGGUUGAAUUUCUUUCCAGUGAACGAAAGAAUAUACACUCCCGGAGAAGGUUUUUUUUCCCAGCCUACCUUGCCAUUUCGACGUUCGGUUCCAUCCUGGCUGAAGCCAUAAAGUUGAUGAGCAGCUGCACUAAAAGAGUCAGACUCCGUUCCAUAUCGGCAUUUUAUUGCGGGAUUCGCACGGAAUGGCCCAGGUUCGCUUCGUCAACGAUUUUGAGUGUGCAGAUUGAUUGUUGACGAGCGUUUAACGAUGCUGCUGGAACUGAUGGGAGCAGCGUUUCGUCGGAGCUAAAGUGCAAAUCGUUCGGAGGGUUAAAUUAUCGACCAACAAUCAGGACAACUGUAACGUGGAGAUGCUGCCGAUCGAGAAAGCUCUUAUCGUUAUUGUAUUCAUUACUAAUUCCGAUCCAUUACCGACUCACGUUUCUACGGCUACCACACAACCCACCGUUCCUCCGCAAUACAUCAAGCAAAGCGUGGUAGGAAAUAUUCCGGCCCCAACAACGGCCGUUAUUCUGUCGCUGAGUCUGAAUCAUCCUCGUUCAAGAGAUGGGACAGCGGUAUCACUAUGGCGCACUCAAAGCUGUUGCACCGGAAGAGUCGCUUUAAGCGCCGAACUGGACUUCGAUUUAACAUUGUUAGUUCGUUGGAUCAGACGGGUAGCACUUACAGGCAGGAACAACAAGAAAAUGUAUAGUCCCUGUGGCAGUUCAGAAAUAUUUUCCUGCAACGGCGGUCACAUCCCGAUUUCUUUUAUCUUCGAUUUCCCACGAGGACUCCACGGAUCAGCGCUGAUUUAUCGAUUCAUCAGACAGUCUACGAAACCCGCCCGAUCGAGUAAGCCUAGUCCACACUCGGCAACAUGAGGUGCGAUUUCGGUUGAUGAGACUUGUUUAUGCUUACAUUUUGGUUGCCGAAAGUCUUCCAUACGAUUAUUGCUCAAAUUCAAAGCUUAACGUGGAAUUUGGAACACAGCGAAGAUUUGAUCCAUCGGGUCCGUCUAUUUGUUCCGGAUUGAAUUGGAAGAGAGAGUCUUUUUUCUUUCAUGAUCCAUGUUGAAAUGAAUGGGAGUUGAAACACUUUUCCUCUCUUCCGCAGAACAAUCGCAACAUCCGAUUGACAGUGAAAGUAUCACAAUUUGCCAUUAUAAUAGCUGAUACUUUCAAUAGGGCAUAAUGCUUUUGGUUAAGUAUUUAGUUGAUUGGUUUAGUUUUAAAUAAUUAAAAAAGAGGAAAAGUGUUGGGAGUAUUGCGAUGUUAGGUUAUGGUAUUCGCCUCCCCAAUGCUCUAGUAAGUGUGUUUUUUGUUUUAUUUUUAUUUAAUCAUUCACUUUUGGCAGAUCUUUAAAUUUUUUGGUUAGGUUUAAAUGUAUGAUUUUGAAGAAAAACAAUGAGUCCAGAUAACUUAUUUCGCUAUUUAAGCAAUAUUUAUUAUAUGUUUGGGCUGGGCUUCUUAUUUUAUAUUAAUAGAUGAUAUGAACUAAUAUCCAAUUUUUCUUUUCCUGUUUUUUCUCUUUUUUCUUUUUGUUUUUGUAUUUCUUUUCAUGUUACCUUCUGAUGAUGCCGAAUGAGCUUCGGGUUUGGAAAACGCGAACAACCUUCAAGACAUCUCUUCACAACAUUGGACCCCGAAGAUGGUUUCGCAUGAUGUGGUUGUCGUUCCAAAGAUUCAAUCAACACCUGAAACGAAUUGCUUAAAAAGAAGAAGCUUGCGCCAGACAUCGCAAUGUCUUGUAGCAGGAGAGGCAGCAAAAGAAUCAAUUGGAAGAAAGAAA